UCUGGGAUACCAUUUGGAAGCAGAUGCUAAUACCGGAUAACAACAGAUGAUGCCUAUCAACUGUUUAAAAGAUGGUUCUGCUAUCACUCUUGGAUGGACCUGCGGUGCAUUAGCUAGUUGGUAGGGUAACGGCCUACCAAGGCGAUGAUGCAUAGCCGAGUUGAGAGACUGAUCGGCCACAUUGGGACUGAGACACGGCCCAAACUCCUACGGGAGGCAGCAGCA
rnacentral:rRNA from 1 species